rnacentral:lncRNA from 10 species
GGCCUAAAUCAAAACCAGUAUUAGUGGUAUCUCACAUAAGAAAUUUUAACUUAAUAUGGCACAUAAAAUACUAGUUUGCUUUAGGACUUCCAGAGAAUGGCUAUAAUGUCAAAUCGCCAAAGAGAAAUGAAUAUACAAUGUAGAGGAAAACACAUGGGCUGUGUCUAUGCCUCACAAGCUACCCUGUGUAUUUAAUUUGGUGACUCUUUGGUUGAAAUCUGCCUGAAACUAUAAAUUCUAGUUUUUGAACCAAUAAAUACGGUGGUUAAAAUUUUAAAAAGACAUUUCAAUACUUACCACUAUUCUCACAUUGGGAGCAGUGUAUAAGUGAUUCAGCCUUUCCUUUCUUGUUGGACUCCUUACCCUUCAGACAAAUUCCACAUAUAGCAUUUGGAAUGACCUUUGGCUGGAAGGGUAGAAGAGGGCUAUAAAUUCAUGCCAGAAGAGCUUACUAUGGGUUUAAAAGGAAUUCUGUUACUUUAUUGCCCUAUUUUUACUUUUGGUAACUUGCUAAUGAGGACCAUUUUGAAAGACAAAACUUGACAGGAGUCUGCCUACAAUGUAAGACUGCCUACUGAAGAAAGCAUUAAUUUCAUCAUAAAAUUUGGUAAACAGCAUGAUCUCGUAAGAUUAAAUGUAGCAUUCUAUACUCCCUACAUGCACAGUAAGAUUUGUUUAAUGAAUGGAAGGAAAGACUAAAUACAAUGUCAAAUGUCACUAUUAAUUGGACAAGAAAAUCCAAGUAGCAAAUGACCAUUAUGUGUAAGACUUACUCUAAAAAGACCAUUUUAAAUAGCUCAUAUAUUAAUUUUGUUUAAAACCUGCUAUUUUCCAAAACUGCAAAACUAGAGCUAUAAAAUCUAAGUUAAAAAAUCAGCUUAUCCUCAUUGGUAUAGUGGUAUUUAAAAAAAAAUCAGUUUAAACAUUUUUAAUUGAAAGAUGUCUCAUGCAUACAUUGGCGUGUACAUAAACGUUUGUGGAAAACUUAGUUGUGUGAUUAUUCUCUUUGCAUGUCUAAUAAAAGAAUCUAUACUUAGAAAGAUUCACUAUAAAAUGUAAAAUUAUAAAAGGGAAAAAUAAGUUUUCAGACAAGCAA